GGUAGUAGCAAGUAUUCAAGUGAGAACCUUGAGGACCGAGGUGGAGAAGGGUUCCAUGGGAACGGCAGUUAGCCAUGGGUCUUGUAGUCCUAAGUGAUCCGGUGACCCCGUGCAGUCAUGGAGUGCCAUGCAUGCUGCGUGCAUGCAUAGGUGUGGGGUAGUUCAUUGGCAUCCACCUAGAGCGAACCGGAUUAACAUUCCUGAUCCAACUCAAGGAGAUGGGUGGUGUCGGUAGGUCGGUGAGUUGGUUAGUUUGCGGUGCCGCUGCUGCAGGAGGUCUGCGGAGAAAUAGGCCGGCACAUGACAUGGGCGUCACCAUCAGGCGCGGUAACGCAAACGAACUCGGAGGUAUCGGCAAGAUUUCCAAAGAGGGUUAUUUUUUCUUUGUAGGACGUUUACCACCCCUGAAAUUGGGUUGUCUGGAGAUAGGGGUAUCACCUCUGUAAAGCACCACCCCUCUUGUUGUGUCUGGCACGCUCCCGCGGGCCCUUGAAAAUCUGAGGGAGGCAGUGUUAUUUUUGUGGCAGGCCGUACCCAUAUCCGCAUCAGGUCUCCAAGGCGAAGAGCCUCUGGC
rnacentral:ncRNA from 1 species